AACACGAGGAUUAUAUGGUGUUGGCU
rnacentral:piRNA from 1 species